GGAUGGGAGGGUGAUCUGCUUGUGACGUCAGUCAUCCCAUUGAUUAUCAGCUGUAGGUCUGGCUGGCUAGAGAGUUGUCCCUUUGCUCCCUCUCAGCUCCAAGUGCAUCCACCCCCAAAGCUGGGAGGCUGGGGAAGAUGAUAGCAGUCCCCAAAUAGAGAAGGACAAUGUAAUGUCUAUUCCUGGUUGUCAACUUGAUUAUAUCUGGAAUGAACUACAAUCCAGAAUUGGAGGGCUCACUGAGAUCCAGAUCUUGAGGCUGGAAGACACAUGUUUCUGACCUGAAUCUUGGCGUGAAGAUCUUGAGGCAUAA
rnacentral:snRNA from 1 species